rnacentral:rRNA from 1 species
CCGUGCCAGCAGCCGCGGUAAUACGGAGGAUUCCAAGCGUUAUCCGGAUUUAUUGGGUUUAAAAGGGUGUGUAGGCGGGCCCUUAAGUCAGUGGUGAAAGUUUGCAGCUUAACUGUAAAAUUGCCAUUGAAACUGAGGGUCUUGAGUGUAAAUAAGGUAGGCGGAAUGUGUUGUGUAGCGGUGAAAUGCUUAGAUAUAACACAGAACACCAAUUGCGAAGGCAGCUUACUGGGAUACAACUGACGCUGAGGCACGAAAGCGUGGGGAUCAAACAGGAUUAGAUACCCUGGUAGUCCACGCAGUAAACGAUGAAUACUAGCUGUAUGCGAUAUACUGUAUGUGGCACAGCGAAAGCGUUAAGUAUUCCACCUGGGGAGUACGUUCGCAAGAAUGAAACUCAAAGGAAUUGACGGGGGCCCGCACAAGCGGAGGAACAUGUGGUUUAAUUCGAUGAUACGCGAGGAACCUUACCCGGGCUUGAAAUGCAGACGACCGAUCAGGAAACUGAUCUUCAGCAAUGGCGUCUGUGUAGGUGCUGCAUGGUUGUCGUCAGCUCGUGCCGUGAGGUGUCGGCUUAAGUGCCAUAACGAGCGCAACCCCUAUCAUUAGUUACUAACAGGUUAAGCUGAGGACUCUAAUGAGACUGCCACCGUAAGGUGUGAGGAAGGUGGGGAUGACGUCAAAUCAGCACGGCCCUUACGUCCGGGGCGACACACGUGUUACAAUGGGGGGUACAGAGGGUUGCUACUUGGUGACAAGAUGCUAAUCUCUUAAAGCCUCUCUCAGUUCGGAUCGGAGUCUGCAACUCGACUCCGUGAAGCUGGAUUCGCUAGUAAUCGCGCAUCAGCCAUGGCGCGGUGAAUACGUUCCCGGGCCUUGUACACACCGCCCGUCAAGCCAUGGAAGCCGAGGGGACCUGAAGUACGAACCGCAAGGAGCU